UACGAAGGUGGCAAGCGUUAUUCGGAUUUACUGGGCGUACAGGGAGCGUAGGCGGUUCGGUAAGCCCUUUGUGAAAUCUCCAGGCUUAACCUGGAACAGUCGGAGGGGACUGCCGGGCUAGAGGACGGGAGAGGAGCGCGGAAUUCCCAGUGUAGCGGUGAAAUGCGUAGAUAUUGGGAGGAACACCAGUGGCGAAGGCGGCUCACUGGACUGGUACUGACGCUGAGGCGCGAAAGCGUGGGGAGCAAACGGG
rnacentral:rRNA from 1 species